rnacentral:misc_RNA from 1 species
AAAUAGAAAAUCCUGCCCAAUCUGUGUAAUCAUAUAUAUUAUUGCUAUCUACAUAAAAUUUCCAGUUUACUUAAUUCCCUCAGACUGUUGAUGUUUCAUAAGGAGAAUUAUUUGUUAGUUUUGAUACAAAUGCAUGAGCUUCAGGCUUGUUAUCAACUAUCAAGUUUCCAGCUGAAAAUAUGGUAAGCUUGUUAUUUAAACAAGACAUCAUUUCAAAGAGCUGGCCUGAAGCAUUGGUUGAGUAGCUUAACACCCUUAAACACAUAGUUCAAUCCUAAGGAUUUUCUUUUUGUUGGUCCUUUGUUGGAAAUAAAUUUUACUGAAAAUAAGGAAAGGUCAAUCACAAGGUCUCAA